rnacentral:rRNA from 1 species
AUACGUAGGGGGCGAGCGUUGUCCGGAAUGAUUGGGCGUAAAGGGCGCGUAGGCGGCCCGGUAAGUCUGGAGUGAAAGUCCUGUUUUUAAGAUGGGAAUUGCUUUGGAUACUGUCGGGCUUGAGUGCAGGAGAGGUAAGUGGAAUUCCCAGUGUAGCGGUGAAAUGCGUAGAGAUUGGGAGGAACACCAGUGGCGAAGGCGACUUACUGGACUGUAGCGGACGCUGAGGCGCGAAAGUGUGGGGAGCAAACAGGAUUAGAUACCCUGGUAGUCCACACUGUAAACGAUGAAUGCUAGGUGUAGGGGGUAUCGACCCCUUCUGUGCCGCAGUCAACACAAUAAGCAUUCCGCCUGGGGAGUACGGCCGCAAGGUUGAAACUCAAAUGAAUUGACGGGG